rnacentral:lncRNA from 1 species
AGCCAACAACCGAGAGCGCACCCGACUCUCCAAGGCAGCGUCCGGUGCCUCAGGACAGAGCGUCCGGUGUGAGUUUUCAGUCAGAAACUUUCUACUGGUGCACAGGAAACUUUCCACUGCCAAAUAAGAAACUUUCCACCGGUAUAAAAAAAACUUUCUACUAGCGCACAGGAAAUUUUCCUCUGGUAAACAAGAAACUUUCCACCGGCAUACAGGAAACUUUCCACUAGUGCACAAGAAACUUUCCACCGGCACAAGGGAAACUUUUUACCUCCUUCUUAAGGUGUGCCAACACCACCAAGUGUACCAACAAGUGCAAGGGUGUUAGCAUUUUCACAGACAAUUUCACCAAAGGAGUUAAGUUAGCACUUUACUAGAUCCUAAUGCAUAUGCUCAAGAUAUGGACCUAGUAGCACUUGAUUCGAGAGAUGACCGUGAUUUCCCCUCUUGAUAGUCGGCUAUCUAUCCUAAACCCGGUCAAUCACUUCUCUACUCAUCUUAGACCGGCAAAAGUAAAACCCUAUGUUUAUACCUUUGCCUUGAUAACUUUUCUCCUCGUUUAUCACCAUGAUCUUCACUUCAUGCUUCAUCCCUUUGUGAUCAUGUGGCCACCUUUCCAUGCCACCAAGCACCUUCAUCACAUGUGUUGCUAUGCCUAUCUCAAAUCACUUAAACACAAGGCAUUAGCAACUUGGUGUCAUUAAUUACCAAAACCAAACUUGGGCUUUCACUUGGUAGUUAUCCUUUUCCUUUCAAUUAUUUAAAAUAGUUUGCUUAGUUAAUUAGGUUCAUAUCAUCUUGAAAAAAAAUAAAAAUGUUAAAUAUAGUAAGCCCCAUGUGAGUAUGCUCAUGGCAUAAAACCCAUAAGUACAUUCACUGUGGUGGCAUAAAAAUAAAAUAAAUAUAUUUUUGUUCUAUAAAAAUAAAAAUAUAAAAAUAAAUUUAUGAUCCUACCAAAGAGAGUAAUAUUUAUUAGAGGAAGCUCAACAUGAUAACGGCUAAGAGAUUUUAUGCUAACACUUAACUAGUUCCACAAAGCUUUGUUGUCUAUUUGAGCUCCACAGAAUUCAAGGAUGAAAGAAGACUAGCAGACGGAAGACAUCCUAAUCGCUGUCAGGGUGCUGCUGAUAUUCAAAUACACCUCCACCACCUGCUAGCUACAUCAGAAGAAAUUGUGUCAAAAUCUAGCUUGGGGGAGAGCACCCCCAUUUAUCCAGCUAAGUGUUCUACUCACGUUUAUACUUUACUCAAAUAAUAAAAAGAUGCAUAAUCAUAAAAACCCAAAUAAAGAUUUUGUGCUUAUAUAUAUAUAUCUUUGCUUAGUUUGCUAAAUAAAUAAAUAAAUAAAGUUUGCUAUGAACCCUCAUGAUAAGCUCUCACAUGGAAAUGAUGAAUAGUUGCUCUGCCAUGACUAGUUCUCAAAAUUGAAAUCUCUCUCAAGUUUAAGCAUGACUGUUAUUAAUUAAGAUUUGCUCUAAACCUGAACUUGUGGGAAGAGUACUUGAUCUAAAGUCUAAGUCGUUAACGGAUACGAUAUGGGAAGGUUGAGCUGUUGUUUAUCUGUUCCUUGAGAUGCUAGAAUUCUGGAGAAUUUUAUCUUUGAAAAUCUGUAAAAUAUCACAUUAUGAGUUCCUGUAUGAUGAGAGUUUAAAUUCCUACCAUAGCCAUAUAUAUAUGCUUGCUAGACUUUGAGCCACAUAUUUACUUUUUACUGCUUAUGAGCAUUCAGUGUGGUCAAGCUGUGUAGACCCUUAGGAGCUUGUCAUGUGGUUAAAUCAAGAUUCACUUGCACGUUCACUCACACAUGCUGCUUCUACUCCGGAAGUACGCAUCCACAUAUAUCCACCCAUUUCCAUCUCCAGAACCACCCAAAAAUAUUCUACUCCUAAUCCGGGAGAGAAUAGCCAAAAACAUUCUCCUAUUUCUUUUUUCCCCUGUGAAAUAAAUGCUCAAGUUAUUUCAGUUACUACCACUUGCUACAUUAUUUAAAGAGGUGAGUGCUCUAAAAAAAGAAGAUACGAGGAAAUAAAAAGGGGCAAGUGCCCGAAACCUCGAAAGAAAAGAAAAAGUGAGACGAGAGGUAAAAAUGGACAAGUGUCCGACAGUAGAAUUAGGGGUACCAGAUACCCACCUGAGAGAAAAGAAAAAGAAAAUAUAGAGCAUCUCAUUCUCCUCAAAAAGUUUCAAAAGAGCAAGAAAGGUAUGUAUCCCCUCAAAAGAGCACAAGUAGAAUUAGACUUUCACCAUUGUUAUCACCAUCAUCACCAUACACCAUUCAUUCGCCACGCAUGCACAUCUUGAUUUGACUUAUUGACUUGUUCUUCUAGAUCCAUAGUUUGACUAUGCAAUAAAUGUCUUGUAAGUAUGUAUUAGCUGUCUCCCACCUAUGAGCUCUAGAUAUCAAAACCUUAUUAGAGUAGGGUGAGAGAGAAGGCAAUGCCACUAUGCCUCAUACCAAAAAUACCACAUACUUUGAGAGAAGGCAUACACCAUUACUGCCUUGGUAAGGAUCCAGAAAUACCACAAA